rnacentral:rRNA from 1 species
GACGUAGGGCGCGAGCGUUGUCCGGAUUUAUUGGGCGUAAAGGGCGCGUAGGCGGCCAUGCGUGUCUUCCGUGAAAAUCCCUCGGCUUAACUGAGGACGUGCGGAAGAAAACUGCAAGGCUCGAGUCCGGGAGAGGGGGGGUGGAAUUCCCAGUGUAGCGGUGAAAUGCGUAGAUAUUGGAGGAAGACACCGGUGGCGAAGGCGGCCCUGACCGCA